rnacentral:lncRNA from 1 species
GGGCCCCGCGCGGCUGGGGGUCCGGUCUCUCCCCCGGAGCCCCGGGGCGGCCCCCGCAGCGUUUCUGCGGCCGCUGGCAGCGAGUGCCCGCCAGAGGGCCGGCGCCACCUCCGACCCGGGUUAACUGGGAAGCUUGUAGUUUUUAUGAGCUCCAGAAUAUUAUGGAUAUGGUCACACAAAGGUUCCAAAGAGCUCACCCACCCGUCAUCAGGGCCUGCGUGUUUUGAAGGGCUUCCCCCGCUGGUCUGUUCAAUUUAUGGCAUCAUAGCUGUGAAUUAAGUCCAGGCUUCAGGACACCUGCUUUUCACCUUAUGAUGCAGGAGAUCCAAUGAUACUCAAAUUAUCUGUGGGAAAUAAGAAUGCUGUAUGGGGCACCUGGCCAGAACCUGCAGGAGAAUCGCAGUGCAAACUUCAAGGAUUUUGGAGAAAACCCAUACCUUUUUUGGCAG